GUAGGUGAACCUGCGGAGGGAUCAUUAACAUCCACACCCCCUCACAGAGGGCUCUCGCUCCUAGCAAUAGGGCGGAGCUCUCUUGAGACACCCCUCUGAACUCUCUCUACUCUAUACCCUACCCUGGAGGAGUGGGUCGUCCUGCACGCAAGUGCAGCGUCGACUUCUCCUCUCCCCAUUUUCUACACCCCUGACUUCUGACCCCAUUCUCCCCCUUGCUUCGUCGUCUGCUCCUUGCGAGCCGCGGCGG
rnacentral:misc_RNA from 1 species